GAAUUCGCCCUUAGAGUUUGAUCCUGGCUCAGGACGAACGCUGGCGGCGUGCCUAACACAUGCAAGUCGAACGGGGUAAGAAGCUUCGGUUUUUUACUUAGUGGCGAACGGGUGAGUAACGCGUGAGUAACCUGCCUUUCAGUGGGGGACAACAGUUAGAAAUGACUGCUAAUACCGCAUAAUGUUUCGAGAGGGCAUCCUUUUGAAACCAAAGAUUUAUUGCUGAAAGAUGGACUCGCGUCUGAUUAGCUAGAUGGCGGGGUAACGGCCCACCAUGGCGACGAUCAGUAGCCGGUCUGAGAGGAUGAACGGCCACAUUGGGACUGAGAUACGGCCCAGACUCCUACGGGAGGCAGCAGUGGGGAAUAUUGGGCAAUGGGCGAAAGCCUGACCCAGCAACGCCGCGUGAAGGAAGAAGGCCUUCGGGUUGUAAACUUCUUUUACCAGGGACGAAGAAAGUGACGGUACCUGAGAAAAAGCAACGGCUAACUACGUGCCAGCAGCCGCGGUAAUACGUAGGUUGCAAGCGUUGUCCGGAUUUACUGGGUGUAAAGGGCGUGUAGGCGGAGAUGCAAGUUGGGAGUGAAAUCCCGGGGCUCAACCCCGGAACUGCUUUCAAAACUGCAUCCCUUGAGUAUCGGAGAGGCAAGCGGAAUUCCUAGUGUAGCGGUGAAAUGCGUAGAUAUUAGGAGGAACACCAGUGGCGAAGGCGGCUUGCUGGACGACAACUGACGCUGAGGCGCGAAAGCGUGGGGAGCAAACAGGAUUAGAUACCCUGGUAGUCCACGCUGUAAACGAUGAAUACUAGGUGUGGGAGGACUGACCCUUUCCGUGCCCCAUUUAACACAAUAAG
rnacentral:rRNA from 1 species